rnacentral:lncRNA from 1 species
UGGGGACUUGUGGUUUAACUAUUCUAGUAGUGUGAUUAUUGAUUAACUUUGACUUGAUUUUUUUUUAUUUUUUAUUUAUUUUGUUCUAACAAAAGCUUUCUAGGGUUUUGUUUUCUUGUGUAUGCAAGAUACAAUUCGGACUAAGAGCAAGAAAAUAUCAAAACCUCUUCUUGAAGGUUUAAGUUAAACUCAAAGCAGAAGGAGGAUUCGAACAUCUAGAGAAUUGUUUCCUUCUCCUGAGAGAUUGGUACAACCUUCACCACAAGC